rnacentral:lncRNA from 1 species
UUCAUAAGUUAUAGAAAACCUUACUAGUUGAACUGAACUUAAGUCAUCACCUCUCUGUUUCUUUCUCUCCUAUUCCAUUUUUCAACUAAAUCCAACGGGUUGGGUCCCACUUUCGCCCUUCUCACGUGCACAUCCCACCUCUCACGUGCCUAUACUCUUCAAUAUAGUCGAUAUAUAUAUAUAGUCCAUUCUACAACUGUAUACUAUUCUCUUAAUUACUUCGAUUAUCAUCUGUCUGCCACUGCAGCCUUUCUGCUAUUUCCACUUAAACCCCAUUGGACUUCAACACAAUCCUUACACUCUCUCUCUACAAUUUCUCUCUCUCUCUAUAAGAACCAGAACCAGAACUCCCCUGAUAUGCAGUAUUGUUUCCCAAUUCUAUAGAAACACCAAAUCCAUCACCAUUUCACCCCCCACAGGGAGACAUGGAAAAUGCUUGCAACUUGUUGAAUAAUAGCGGCAGAGGGCAAAACGGUAAUUGCACAAACGUUGCAUGGGAUAUCUGGGACCAUCAUUGGAGUAGCACUAGCACUAAUACCAACGGUCAAAACUCAUUCCACCACCACCACGCCGCCGCCGUCUCCGCCGCCGCCGUCUCCGCCGCCGCCGUCUCCGCCGCCGCCGUCUCCGCCGCCGCCGUCUCCGCCGCCACGGCGUCGGUGGUGACAAGCACCUCCACCGGGAACCCGGAAGAGAGUGCCUUCCACGCGCUGUUGUUUUCCCAACAAGAGAGCGGCAGCAACCACCAUUGUUCGUCUCCCUACACCGGGAUUGGGACCCACUACCACCCGGACCCACACCUCAUGUGCUUGAAGCUGGGGAAGAGGAAUUAUUUUGAGGAUACUACCGGUCCGAGUUUGCGACAUGUGGCGGGGUUCUCCAUAUCGAAGCGAGGGAAACCCUACUACGGCGGUGGGAUGAUGGUUCCUUCGGCAACGGCAGCAGUCACGGUGGCGAUCCCGGCGACGGUGACUAGGUGUCAGGUGGAGGGGUGCCAAGUGGCGCUUCUGAACGCUAAGGAUUACCACAGGAGGCACAAGGUGUGUGAACUGCACUCAAAGGCUGCAAGAGUUGUGGUUCUUGGCCUUGAGCAGCGCUUUUGUCAACAGUGCAGCAGGUUGGUAACUGUCGUGUGUAAAAAAUAAAUAAAAAUCUCUCUCUAUAUUUAUACAUAUUUAUUUAAAUGGUUGGUAACUGUCAUGUGUUAUGUGUAUGUAUGUGUAAAAAUAAAUAAAAAUCUAUCUCUAUAAUUA